rnacentral:rRNA from 1 species
GGUUAAGCGACUAAGCGUACACGGUGGAUGCCCAGGCAGUCAGAGGCGAUGAAGGGCGUGCUAAUCUGCGAUAAGCGUCGGUAAGGUGAUAUGAACCGCAACAACCGACGAUACCCGAAUGGGGAAACCCAGUGCAAUCCGUUGCACUAUCAUGUCAUGAAUACAUAGUGGCAUGAGGCGAACCGGGGGAACUGAAACAUCUAAGUACCCCGAGGAAAAGAAAUCAACCGAGAUUCCCCCAGUAGCGGCGAGCGAACGGGGAACAGCCCAGAACCUGAAUCAGUUUGUGCCUUAGUGGAAGCGUCUGGAAAGUCGCGCAGUAAAGGGUGACAGCCCCGUACACAAAAAGGCACUUGCUGUGAGUUCGAUGAGUAGGGCGGGACACGUGACAUCCUGUCUGAAUAUGGGGGGACCAUCCUCCAAGGCUAAAUACUCCUGACUGACCGAUAGUGAACCAGUACCGUGAGGGAAAGGCGAAAAGAACCCCGGCGAGGGGAGUGAAACAGAACCUGAAACCGUGUACGUACAAGCAGUGGGAGCACCUUCGUGGUGUGACUGCGUACCUUUUGUAUAAUGGGUCAGCGACUUAUAUUCUGUAGCAAGGUUAACCGUAUAGGGGAGCCGCAGGGAAACCGAGUCUUAACUGGGCGUUAAGUUGCAGGGUAUAGACCCGAAACCCGGUGAUCUAGCCAUGGGCAGGUUGAAGGUUGGGUAACACUAACUGGAGGACCGAACCGACUAAUGUUGAAAAAUUAGCGGAUGACCUGUGGCUGGGGUGAAAGGCCAAUCAAACCGGGAGAUAGCUGGUUCUCCCCGAAAGCUAUUUAGGUAGCGCCUCGUGAAUUCAUCUCCGGGGGUAGAGCACUGUUUCGGCUAGGGGGCCAUCCCGGCUUACCAACCCGAUGCAAACUGCGAAUACCGGAGAAUGUUAUCACGGGAGACACACGGCGGGUGCUAACGUCCGUCGUGAAGAGGGAAACAACCCAGACCGCCAGCUAAGGUCCCAAAGUCAUGGUUAAGUGGGAAACGAUGUGGGAAGGCACAGACAGCCAGGAUGUUGGCUUAGAAGCAGCCAUCAUUUAAAGAAAGCGUAAUAGCUCACUGGUCGAGUCGGCCUGCGCGGAAGAUGUAACGGGGCUAAACCAUGCACCGAAGCUGCGGCAGCGGACGUAUCACCCAAGCAGAUUCACUGAAGUGGAUAACGAUUGACGGAGCGCAGCGACGUCAAUGCGCCAUCAAAGUCGAGUCGACUUCGGGAUACGUCCGUUGGGUAGGGGAGCGUUCUGUAAGCCGUCGAAGGUGUGCUGUGAGGCAUGCUGGAGGUAUCAGAAGUGCGAAUGCUGACAUAAGUAACGAUAAAGCGGGUGAAAAGCCCGCUCGCCGGAAGACCAAGGGUUCCUGUCCAACGUUAAUCGGGGCAGGGUGAGUCGACCCCUAAGGCGAGGCCGAAAGGCGUAGUCGAUGGGAAACGGGUUAAUAUUCCCGUACUGGGUGUUACUGCGAAGGGGGGACGGAGAAGGCUAUGUUAGCCGGGCGACGGUUGUCCCGGUUUAAGCGUGCAGGCUUGAGUUCCAGGCAAAUCCGGAACUCUUUAAGGCUGAGGCGUGAUGACGAGGCACCACGGUGCUGAAGUAACAAAUGCCCUGCUUCCAGGAAAAGCCUCUAAGCAUCAGGUAACAUCCAAUCGUACCCCAAACCGACACAGGUGGUCAGGUAGAGAAUACCAAGGCGCUUGAGAGAACUCGGGUGAAGGAACUAGGCAAAAUGGUGCCGUAACUUCGGGAGAAGGCACGCUGGCGCGUAGGUGAAGCGACUUGCUCGUGGAGCUGAAGCCAGUCGAAGAUACCAGCUGGCUGCAACUGUUUAUUAAAAACACAGCACUGUGCAAACACGAAAGUGGACGUAUACGGUGUGACGCCUGCCCGGUGCCGGAAGGUUAAUUGAUGGGGUUAUCCGUAAGGAGAAGCUCUUGAUCGAAGCCCCGGUAAACGGCGGCCGUAACUAUAACGGUCCUAAGGUAGCGAAAUUCCUUGUCGGGUAAGUUCCGACCUGCACGAAUGGCGUAAUGAUGGCCAGGCUGUCUCCACCCGAGACUCAGUGAAAUUGAACUCGCUGUGAAGAUGCAGUGUACCCGCGGCAAGACGGAAAGACCCCGUGAACCUUUACUACAGCUUGACACUGAACAUUGAGCCUUGAUGUGUAGGAUAGGUGGGAGGCUUUGAAGCGUGGACGCCAGUCUGCGUGGAGCCAACCUUGAAAUACCACCCUUUAACGUUUGAUGUUCUAACCUGGCGCCGUAAUCCGGCGUGGGGACAGUGUCUGGUGGGUAGUUUGACUGGGGCGGUCUCCUCCCAAAGAGUAACGGAGGAGCACGAAGGUCAGCUAAUCACGGUCGGACAUCGUGAGGUUAGUGCAAUGGCAUAAGCUGGCUUGACUGCGAGAGUGACGGCUCGAGCAGGUGCGAAAGCAGGUCAUAGUGAUCCGGUGGUUCUGAAUGGAAGGGCCAUCGCUCAACGGAUAAAAGGUACUCCGGGGAUAACAGGCUGAUACCGCCCAAGAGUUCAUAUCGACGGCGGUGUUUGGCACCUCGAUGUCGGCUCAUCACAUCCUGGGGCUGAAGUAGGUCCCAAGGGUACGGCUGUUCGCCGUUUAAAGUGGUACGCGAGCUGGGUUUAGAACGUCGUGAGACAGUUCGGUCCCUAUCUGCCGUGGGCGCUGGAAGAUUGAGAGGGGUUGCUCCUAGUACGAGAGGACCGGAGUGAACGCACCGCUGGUGUUCGGGUUGUCAUGCCAAUGGCAUUGCCCGGUAGCUAAGUGCGGAAAAGAUAAGCGCUGAAAGCAUCUAAGCGCGAAACUUGCCUCGAGAUGAAUCUUCCCUGACUCCUUGAGAGUCCUGAAGGGACGUUGAAGACGACGACGUUGAUAGGCCGGGUGUGUAAGCGCAGCGAUGCGUUGAGCUAACCGGUACUAAUGACCCGUGAGGCUUAACCUU